UGUCACCUCCUAGAUUUAUGGAAUAAGAGAUGGAGAAGCAGCAAACAGAAAUGUAUUUUUGACAAAUGGUUCAAGCAUGAGAGAGGAUCCACAUCCCCCAAUCCAUCUCUAGCUUUCUCAGCCAGAUCAACACGAAGCAACUGAUCAAGCACCACUCCAUUCUACAAAUUUGGGAUUAUAACUACAAUAAUGAGAAGAUGGGUGAACUCCAAAGGCUGUUAAUUCAUUCCUCAUCAAAGAUAAACCCGUCUAGUUUAAAAGUUUUAUAGUGUUAGUCAGUGGUUACCAGAUCAUAGACAAUUCAGAAAUGAUGGAAUCAAAUUUGGAAAAU